CAGACAACGCAGACUACAAGGGAAGUGGCUAUGAUCGCGGUCAUCUGGCGGCGGCUGGGAAUCACAAAGUGGACCAAAAACACAUGGAACAAACCUUUUUCACGAAUAUGGCACCACAGGUUGGAAAGGAUUUCAACAGAGAUUCCUGGAACAGAUUGGAGAAAUACAUUCGGAAGUUGACAAAUAUCUAUACAAGGACGUCUACGUAUGCACGGGGCCAUUAUACCUUCCUAAGAGAGAGGCGGAUGGAAAGAAAUAUAUGCGUUAUGAAGUGAUCAGCGCGAAUCAUGUGGCAGUGCCUACACAUUUUUAUAAGGUCAUCGUCGGCGAAACCAAUGAUGAAAUACGUGAUUUUAUAUCAGAAAAGAUCAAAACUGGUAUGUCAGUUUUGAGCUUCACGGGAUGAUACGUGCAGUUGUAUGCUAUUUCUUGAUGUAAGAUCAAAUUACAUAAACAUUUGUAAUUUUCAGCGCCGGUCGUGGUAAGUGUAUUAAUGUCUAAGCUCGGCUCAUUUAUAAUAAGAUAUGUAUUAUUAUUCAAUUGAAGCUCACCAUUCGUCAGUCUAUUGUGUUCGUAAUCUAAUCUAGAAAUAAUGCGAAUUUAUUCACUAAUAUAUAUGCAUUCAGACCUGUGGCA